AGUGGGAUAGCUGGCACAAAUGAUGGUUCUAUUCCAGUUUUUCUGAGGAAUCUCCAUACUGCUUUCCAAAGAGGUUGAACCAAUUUGCAGUCCCACCAGCAAU
rnacentral:pre_miRNA from 1 species